CAAACGACAAACAAGCUUUUUGAAAUUUUUUAACAUGCCGCUCGGCCUCUUACUGAGACUCUCCGCUCGAUACCGCUGGUUGUCCAUGACUGCCCGUGCCAGGCGAUUUUGAUCAAAUUCGGUACUGGCUUUGAGAGGUGUAAUAUAACUCACUGGUCCAAAUUCAGCAUAAUCGACUGAAAAAUAGGUGUAUGUGUAUAUCGAAUUCGUGCCACUGUAGCCUAUGUCCGAAUAUAACGCUGAACGCCUGCGUUCAAAUCCUGGCGAUAACAUAAGACAAAAUUUAAAGCGGUUGUGCUCCUCUCUUAAUGCUGACGACAUUUGCCAUGGUUGGUCAUGUAAAAUAUUAUCCCCAAGGAGAUGUCGCACUGCGGCACGCCAUUCAGAUUCGACUAUAAACAAAGUCCCUUUCAUUCAGUUUAAACUUGAAUCGGAAAGCUUUCAUUGAUGUGUGAGAAGUGUGCCACUUUUCGGAUCCUGGUUUAGAGAGACACUUGUCCUUUAAUUUAAAUAUACGCUUCGUGCUCUACUUUCAAAUACAUUUUAUAUGAGCUCUAUAUUGUCGUGAUUGGUCUAUAUUCCAUUUGGCGGGAUUUGGACGGCCCCCGAGGCACCCGACUCCAACAAUGGAAAUCAUGUCUUGUUUUGACUGUAAGAGUGCAAAAAAAUUUUCGGACUCAUCGCAUUACCAAUCUCCGAGGUCUGGUGGUUUUGAAACUUAGGGUAACGUGUUUUUUAGGUGAGGGAUGGUACUCAGACAAAUAUGGAUAUCAAAUUCGUGCUGCACUCCCAAAUCCAUUUAAUGUGAGCCCGAUAUUGCCAUGGUCAGCAUGUAUGUUUGGAGGGUGUUUUGGGGCUGGGGCGGCCACCGGCACUCUGCAAUGAAAAUAGAUACCAAAUUCGUUCUUUACUCCCAAAUACCGUUGAUUUGAGCUCCAUAUUGCCAUAAUCGGGAUUGAAGUUCAGUUUAGGAGGCGCUUUAGGGCGUACCCCCAAACACUUGGCUCCAAAAUUGGAUAUUAAAUUCGUAUUCUACUCUCAAAUACCUUUCAUUUUAAGUCCCAUAUUGUCAUAAUGUGUUAAUCAACCUAUUUGAUAUAUUUUUGAAAAGAAAAGUUCCACCUGGACUUGAACACAAA